GGCCUCGUAGCUCAGUUGGCUAGAACACCGGCUGUACUAUAGCCUUCCCCUUGCUGGCGUGGGUUCAAAUCUCACCAAGGCCA
rnacentral:tRNA from 1 species